rnacentral:lncRNA from 1 species
AGAGGGUAAAAUCUCUGAAACAACCAUCUUAUCUAAGCUUAAAUAUAAACAAAAUUGGAUAAACCAAAUAUAUAUGUUAAAAAAGGCUAUUCCAAUGAAUUGGAAAUUAAUUCUUUGUACUGAAGAAUCCAUCAAAACUAAAGUUAAAGUUGUUAACGACUUAAAAAUUAGGUACACAACAAUAACUCCAUUAACGAGCACUAGAGAACUUUAUAAAAUGUUCAAACUAAAAGAAAAUCAUGAAAAACCGAAC